UACAGAGGGUGCAAGCGUUAAUCGGACUUACUGGGCGUAAAGGGUGCGUAGGUGGAAAUUUAAGUUGAGUGUGAAAUAUCUGGGCUUAACCUGGAGGGUGCAUUCAAAACUGAGUUUCUAGAGUAUGGUAGAGGGAAGUGGAAUUUCCGGUGUAGCGGUGAAAUGCGUAGAUAUCGGAAGGAACACCAGUGGCGAAGGCGACUUCCUGGGCCAAUACUGACACUGAGGCACGAAAGCGUGGGUAGCAAACAGG
rnacentral:rRNA from 1 species